UCAUAUAUUUAAUAAUCAUAAUUUUCAUGAUUUGAAUUAAAUGACACCUUAAUAAUCAAAUAUAUUUAGCAAUAUCAACAGCUUCACUUUGUAGUUAAUCAAUGUCAAAUCAAAGUAGGAAUACAAUCAGCUAAUGCCAUCGAUCAUUUAUACUUAAUAACCACUAAGUGAAAAACAUACCUUACCCCUAGAAUUUCAAUCCGCACUUUGCGCUGCACUUUGGCGGAAAUUCAUUUUGAAAACAUGCGGCGGCGACAUUUGGCGCCACCUCAACUCAACCCCCCCGACCACCAAAAGGGGCGUAGAUCAAAGGGGUUAGCUUGCUUUUGUGCAUUCGCCGAGCGUAGCGCAAGUCGCGGCACUGUGUAAUGGUCAAUAAAUUACUUAGACAACGCAGAAUUACAAAUCGUUUUGAUUAGCAAUUAAAAUUGCAAAAAAAAAAAACAAAAAAAAAUGCAAAAAGAAGCAAAUGGAAAAACAAAACCAGCUGAGUGCAUCUGGGCCAGGCUAGCCGGCAAAUCUCUUAAUUACUUGGCAGUUUGCGCUCGUAGACGGCAACAGGUGCUUUCCGAACAGCGCUUAUUAACUCAUUAUAAAAGCAUUUCAGUGCAGUUCGAUUUGCUUUUGCUGCAAAGCAUUUCAAUUGCCUCCGACACUCGCACUCGCAUUUCGAAAUGCGUGCUCGGUCGCUGGUGCUUUUGCUUUGCUUUUGCUGUGCUUUUGCCGAUCUUGCUGCCGUGUCCGGCUGCUGCGACCUUCAAUUGCUCUGCCAGCGGAAAGGGUGACUCAAGCGAACAAGUGGCAAAUAACAGGAAAGUCAGUGGAAUUUUCAUUUAAUAGAAACGUCAGAGCUCAAGUAAAUAUAGCACAUAUAGCACUCUCGAGACUAUCAUGGAAUUUAAUAUAGGUUUUUAUGCUUUCAAAGCAAACUUGAGUUUAUAAAGCAAUCUUAAUAGGACUCCACUGGAGUUUAUAAAAACAAAAUUUAAAUAUUUUUAAUUCUUCUCAGUUUAAUUUGAACUCAUAUCGCACUGAUUCACCUCCCUAUAAUAUUUUGUAGCUGCUUCUUGCUCCUCUGCCGCAAACGAACACUUUGUGCAAUGCAAAUUUAAUUUGCUAAAUGAUUUUGCCGGGACGGGCGGAUAUCUGGGAAACUUGUUUUGCUGAGUGUGUUUCUAUAUGUGCAAUGGCGGCAUUUCCACGCUUGUGCGGCAGAUGCAAAUGUCACAAAAGUCAGCCAGUCACCCAGUCAUCGUGGUUGGGUGUGAAAUGAGCUGCACUUGGUCUGUAACGUGCAUAUUAUAUAGGCAAUAGACGUGUUGUCUGCGGCAUUUGGCACAGCGAUGAGGAAUGGAGGCGACCGGAAUGGGAAUAGGAGUUGGGGAGCCAGGAAAACAGAACAGAAUUCAAGUGUCAAAGUGACAGUUUUGAAAUUGAUUGCAGCAGCAGCAGCGACAAUUGUGUGUGCGUUUGGCUGAUAAAUAAGGCAGCUUUAAACCGACUUAACCGAGACCAUUGGGGUUAUCUAAUGGAGCCAGAGAUAGACAACCCAGAUAGAAUACCCCAGCUCCAUAUCAAUAUCAACUUGUUCAGAUGAUUGACAGGCGACACGUGGUGGUCAGCACCCUGGAGUUCAUGCGCAUUCGAUUAUCGCGAUCACGUCGCCAGCUGUGGCAUAAACGAUAUUUGCCCCAUAGACCCUACCUAGCCCAUUUUCCGUUCUGCCGAUGACAACGGAAUAUAAAUUAGAGGUGGAAAAUGGCAUAAAUUCUUGGCAUGCCUACGCGUAUGAGAAAUGAAUCGAUACGAAUCAACGAGACCCAUAAGCAAAAUCCAAGUAAAACCAGGCAAAAACCGAAAAUUAUUAGAAGCACGGGACGCCGCCUGUCAAAUAUCGCCAAACAAAUUGACAGCGAGGGGAGUGCGAAACUAACGAACGUUUCGAAUCCAACAGAACAGGAAAAUAAAGAAAAUUUAUGAUCGAGUUCACCAACGAGAGCAAAAGGUGACCACCAUGCUCCAAACACAUGGGAACGAGCCAAUUCCGAACUUCAGCAAAAAA